CAGUUGCGCAUUCAGACUCCCGGAAACUCAGUGGUAACGCAGGAACAUUUGCUGGAGCAUGCAGGCAAAGCUGCCCCUAAACAUUGAAAACAUGCACCUUAGCUGGCUAAUUAGAUAUACAAUGUAAUUUCUGGUAAAGCAGAUCAUAUCAACUUGUCGACUUACUUAAGCAAGCUAGUUAAAUAUUAGCUAGCUCACAAAACUCCCGGUCAGCUUAUCCUAAUUAUUCGCUAGCUGGAACAUUACUAAUAACGUUAGCUAUAGUUAGCUAGCUAAAACGCAAGUUUCGGCUAAACGACUUGCCUCCAUGAAUGUCAUUGAUAUUUGCAGACUUUGAUACUGUUUAAUCUGCACCCAUCACGCGUAAAAGUAAGAUACUUUCUUUGUAUUAUUACUUUUUUCCCCUUUGCAUUAUUACUUGCUAGCUGGCUAGAGGUGCCCGUGACGUCACCAAUAUUGUGAGCCAGCUAACUACUACCUCAGGUUGAACGCCGCUCUGAUCAACUUUUGUUGUUGGACCAAGACAUCUAUAGUUUGCCAAAUCCAAACUUUGGCUUGUCUGGUUUAGACGCCAGCUCGUGUACCAGUGCUGAUAAUGUGUUGAAUGUUGAUAAUGCAUGAAAUGUCCAUGCCUUCAACCAAAAUAGUUGAAUCAAGAUCUAACAUCGCCAUCUUACUGUCCUAUAGCUAACACUUUGUUUACUCCCACAAGUACCAUUAACAAUUGGUCUCGGUAAAGCACUGGAGUAUGAUUGAGGACUUAUGUCAACUCACUUCUCUUUCUCCUUGUAGUAGCCCCAGGAUGGUGUGUGAACUGCUACUCUCCUCACUGUGGUUCCUCUUUGUCAUCUUCUGGGUGGAGACCAUAAGCGUUUGGCUGUUUCUAUGCAUCUUCUACCAGGAUCGGGCAUUUUAUCACUGGGGGGACGGGGCAUUUGCAGAUGACCCCGGUCAAAUGCUGUACAUGUUGAGCAGAGUUGAUCCUUCUGGACAGAUGCAGACCUGAGAAAGGAAAAUGAUGAGGAACAGCACAUGAUGUAUUGUCCACCAGAUACACUAUUAUGGGAGCUAUGUAUUUAUAUAUAUAUAUAUAUAUAUAAAAAAAAAACUCCUACAUGAACAUCCCCUCUCCUGUUACCCUCUUAAAUUUAGAGCAUGGUCCUUGUCAACUUGAACAGACUCCGCCUACAAAGUAGUUGGAUUGUGUUGGAUAUGGUUUGAGACAUCCAGCAUAGCAGGAACAACCAGGUUCCUGUAGUUACUGUAGAAUAUAGAUGCAUAAUGAGGCUGGUGAUUGUUCCCCACCAAAGCAUGAACCAACAUCCAUCUAUUUCUGUGGUUUAUUUGAAUAUGUGAUCUAGGUCACACAAUGUAGAAAAACACAAGGCAAAUACAUAGACAUUGGUUUUUCUUACUUGAGAUUUAGUCCAUGGUCAACAUCCUAUCAUUUGUGGAUUUUGGCAGACUUGCACAUUCUAAUGGCUGUACACGUUUUGUUUGUUUUCUCCGAUGUGUGUAUACAUGAUCUUCAGUCGUGGGCACUUACAUGACUGUCACGGGAUUGUUUUAUGUGUAACUAAUGUAACUGUAAAAAAAACUAACAACUUUGUUGAAAUAUACAUUUUCAAUGAAAAGCUUUAUGUUUGGAAAUGUUCCAAUGUAAUGAAAAUAUAAUUUGCACUCAUUGAGUAUUUUACAAGUUUUGUAAUAUCCUCUGAAACUGUUGUAGAUGUUUUUUUUAUGAAGACUGUAGAUGUGGUGUUCUCAGUUUGUAUCACUUGUAAAGUUUAAAUCACAAUAAUUAAGCCAUUAAUGCUCUCCUAGCACAUCAGAAAAAAAAUAUUACGACACCUAAAAUAAGACCACAUUUUAUCUUGUACUGGUCAAUAACUUGUAUAUUGUCUUCAGUGAUUUGCAUCCAUCUCUAAUGUAUGUCAUAGCCUAAGUCUCUGCAUUGUCUUCUUGUUAGGAAAGCAAGAAGGCUAAACUAGGCGUGGACGCGGAUUGGUUUGCAUUUCCUAUAAAGUUAGGAUAUGUUUGCAUCCGAAGAAGGAAUAAAUUAUAACAUUUUCCAAGCCUGUUUAUGCACUGUGCUUUUUUAUUUUCAUUUGGCUGCUGAUUGGUUCUCCGGUCAACCAGCCAUUUGUCAAUUGUAUGUUCCAAUUCUAAAAAGGGGCAGUUUUGUGUUGUUUUAGUGGCUUGUUUAUUAAACAUAAUGUACAAUCAUAGACGAAAUCCAUCUAACAAAUAUUCGUUUGCAAAAAAAUGAAUGCAAUUGAUUCACUCCCUCCUAACAGUUAGCAACAAAAUGGCUGGUUUAAAACGAGGUUUCCUGAAUCCCAGAUAAACCCCUUUCCCCCACCGAAGUUUCCUGAAUCCCAGAUAAACCCCUUUCCCCACCGAAGUUUCC
ensembl:lncRNA